rnacentral:rRNA from 1 species
UACGUAGGGGGCAAGCGUUGUCCGGAAUCAUUGGGCGUAAAGAGCGUGUAGGCGGCCCGGUAAGUCCGCUGUAAAAGUCAAAGGCUCAACCUUUGAAUGUCAGUGGAUACUGCCGGGCUAGAGUCCGGAAGAGGCGAGUGGAACUCCUGGUGUAGCGGUGAAAUGCGCAGAUAUCAGGAAGAACACCCGUGGCGAAGGCGGCUUUCUGGGACGGUACUGACGCUGAGACGCGAAAGCGUGGGGAGCGAACAGG